rnacentral:rRNA from 1 species
AACGUAGGAGACAAACGUUAUCCGGAGUUACUGGGCGUAAAGCGCGCGCAGGCGGCCUUUUAAGUCUGAUGUGAAAGCCCACGGCUCAACCGUGGAAGGUCAUUGGAAACUGGAAGGCUUGAGUACAGAAGAGGAAAGCGGAAUUCCACGUGUAGCGGUGAAAUGCGUAGAGAUGUGGAGGAACACCAGUGGCGAAGGCGGCUUUCUGGUCUGUAACUGACGCUGAGGCGCGAAAGCGUGGGGAGCAAACAGG